GGAGGUGAUUCUUUUCUAUAACUAAUUAAUUAAUCAAUUUAUUUAAUUUUUAAUUAGCUUGUCGCUUAUGGUGACUUCUAGUGUGUAAUUGGUUUGAAUUUUGUGGAGACAAAAUGAGCGGAAUCAGUGGGUGGCGUGAAGUGGGUCACACACAAAGCUAAAAAGAAUUCAAUUAUUAUAAAUUUGGAUGUGCAUAAUACCACCCUCACGUUCUACUCAACUCAAUGGAUUGCAUUAGAAAAAAAGUAUUUUUUUUUAAUUUCUGUAUACCAUCAUGCAUUCAAAAGAUUUUGUCAUCUGAUUUGCUGAUUUAGUUUUUUUCUUGAGUAUUUAGAUUCAUGGAUAGAGGCACUGUAAUUGAUCGUACCCAUUAAGAGCAAUACCAAGUGUUUUUCCCAAAAGGGUCGUCAAACCAUGGUUCUUGGCUUAAGAUCAAAGAACCGGAAAAGUGUUCAAGUCCAAGUUGAUUAUAUCAUCCAUGUCCAGGAGAUUAAGCCAUGGCCCUUGUCUCAGUCUCCUAAAUCGGUUCAAUCCGUGUUGCUUCAUUGGGAAAAUGGUGAUCAAGCUUCUGGGUCCUUCUCUUGUGGUGUUGGAGAUGGAAAGAUUGAGUUCAAUGAGUCUUUCAGGCUUCCAGUCUUGUUAUGCAAGGAAGCAUCAAAGAAAGGCCAGGCCUAUGAUAGUUACCAGAAGAAUAACUUAGAAUUUUACUUGUUUGAAUCCCGGAAAGACAAGGCAAUGAAGGGUCAACUCUUGGGAUCGGCUUUAAUUAAUCUUGCAGAUUGUGGAGUAAUCAGGGAAACAACAAUUUUAAGCACUCCAGUAAACUGUAAGAAGAGUUUUAAAAAUUCGGGUCAACCACUUCUUUAUGUUAAUAUUCAACCAUUUGGUGAUAAUAGCUCCAGCCCUUCACCAAAAAGCAGCUUGUCAAAACAAGCUUCUACAGAAAUUGCUGAAACUGAAUCAGUGGUUGAGGAGAAUGAUGAAGAAGCUGAGAUUGCCUCUUUUACUGACGACGACGACGAUGAUGGUGCUUCUUCACACUCAUCUCACACUUUAAACUCUUCUAGUGUUGAGAGAACAGUCAGUUCAGCACCAUAUAGUGGAAAGAUUCAACCAGAAAUGUCAAGGAAUAAUGUUGAAAGGAAUGUUGGUGAGGGGGCUUCAAGAGCUGAGUCUGCAAACAUAGUGUCAAGUGAUCUAGCUACAAACUUCAACCAACCAAAAGAAACUUCAUCUGCUUUGUCUUCAAUAGGCUACUCCUCCAAUGUUGAUUCUAUAAACGAUGACGCCUUUCCCAAUAUUCCACAAGAUAGAUCCUCCAUGCCAGUUCUGAAAAAAUCUGUAACUCAUGGUGUGCAGCCUUCUUCUUCUUCUUCCGUAAAGUCUGAUAGUAGAAGGGCUGUUGACAGCAGAGUCCAGAUGCCAGAAUAUUCUCAAGAGGCUACAAGAGACAAUGUCAUUGUUGCUAGUGCUCUUAAAAAUAAAGUUGGCUCAUCAAGUAUGUAUGUUAAGGAGUCAGUGAAAGGAAACUAUAUUGAUUCUCAAACCACUCAGGAGGGUGACAGAAAAGUUUGGAGACAUACGAAAAAUGGCCAAGAAGAGACUACACCUGCAGAUUCUGGUUAUUCAGGGAAUAAUGGGAACAAAGAACACAGAGAAGAACAUGGACGGAAAGAUUAUGUCUUUAAGGUGAAAGAACAUUCUUUUGAUGUAAAACAAAUUUCUAGGUUCUCAGAGGAUGUUAGUACAAGUGAUUCUUCUACAAGCAGCAGUAGAGAUAUUGGAAUCUCUCAUAGCACUGUUAAAAAUAAUCAAGUAAAGCAUGUUAAUUCUGUACAGUUACCUUUUGACACAGAUAACAACAAUAGAUUGUUAGUGAAUACGGAUUUUAUUGAAAAGGCAAACAAAGCCAAAAUAAUCAAAGGUGCUCAAGCUGGUAGGAUGACUAAUGCUACAGGUGUAGAAAAAGAAGCUUCAAAAGGCCUGUCUGAUAACAAAGCUGGACUAGACUCCCAAAUUAAUAUGCUCAAGGAAGAGUUAAGGGAAGCUGCAGCAGUUGAGGUUGGUCUUUAUUCAGUUGCUGCUGAGCAUGGAAGCUCCACAAGUAAAAUACAUGCACCUGCUCGACGACUUUCUAGAUUCUAUCUUCAUGCUUGCAAGGAAGGUUUACAGGCUAGGAAGGCAAAUGCAGCUAGAGCUGCUAUUUCUGGAUUUAUUUUGGUUUCUAAAGCAUGUGGAAAUGAUGUUCCAAGGCUGACUUUUUGGUUAUCAAAUUCAAUCGUUUUAAGAGCUAUUAUCAGCCAGAUUGUAGUAAAAGUACAGCAUUCUGGUGGACCUUGCAUUAGUAGUAAUGGUGGUGGAAAGAGCUCAGUGAAGGGAUCUACACUGAAACAAAACGACAACAAAGAAAGUUUUGAUAAUUGGGAUGACCCACAGACAUUUGUGAUUGCCUUGGAAAAGUUUGAAUCAUGGAUCUUCUCCCGAAUCGUAGAGUCUGUGUGGUGGCAGACUUUGACUCCACAUAUGCAGCCAGCAGCUACUAAGGUUUCCAGCUCAAAGAAAGUUUCUGGAAGAAAGUAUGGUUCUAGUGAUCACGAGCAGGGUAAUUUCUCUAUAGAUCUCUGGAAGAAGGCUUUCAAAGAUGCUUGCCAAAGGCUUUGUCCUGCUCGAGCUGGUGGACAUGAAUGUGGCUGCUUGCCCAUACUUCCUCGUUUGGUUAUGGAGCAGUUGGUUGAUAGACUAGAUGUGGCAAUGUUCAAUGCGAUUCUUCGUGAAAAUGCUGAAGAGAUGCCAACGGAUCCUGUAUCUGACCCAAUAAGUGAUUCCAAGGUUCUUCCCAUUCCAGCUGGAAGGUCAAGCUUUGGGGCUGGGGCACAGCUUAAAAAUGCAAUCGGAAGUUGGUCCAGGUGCCUCACUGAUAUAUUUGACAUUGAUGAUGCUUUAGACGAUAAGGAGGUGCACGAUGAUGAAGAAAGACCGGAGUUUCAAACAUCCUUCAAGGCAUUCCGUCUUCUAAAUUCUCUGAGUGACCUCAUGAUGAUUCCAUUUGAAAUGCUAGCAGAUAAGUCAAUUAGAAAAGAGGUAUGCCCUACACUUAGUGCACCAUUGAUCAAGAUGGUCCUCUACAAUUUUGUUCCAGAUGAGUUCUGUCCGAACCCCAUUCCUGAAGCAGUGUUUGAGGCUCUGGAUUCAGAGGAUAAUUCCGAGAAUGAGGAAGAAUCUGUUAGUUUCCCAUUCACUGCAAAUCCUACGUUCUAUUCUCCACCUUCAGCUGCUUCACAAACAGGCAUCAUAGGAGAGAUAGGAAAUCAGACUCUACUGAGGAGUGGAUCAUCAGUGCUUAGAAAAUCAUACACUAGUGAUGAUGAGCUCGACGAGUUGGAUUCACCUAUUACUUCUAUAAUGAAAGAUAAUUUCCAAGAUAAAAGAAAGGGUGAUGUACAAGUAGUCAGAUAUCAAUUACUCCGAGAAGUAUGGAAAGACACAGAAUGAUAAUAAGCCAUUUCUCGUAGAGAUCAUUUCUGUAUUUCACGCAACUGUGGGAGGAUUCAACAGCAUUGUCAAAAUGAGUUGCAGAAGGCCUCCAUUACAUACCUGUGGUGUUUCAAUUUUAACAGUAGCUCAUAGAACCAUUGAGGUUGCCCAAGAUGCAGAUGAACCAUUAGGCUCAAUAACCAAAAGGGUCCUCAAAAUAUCAUCAGUUGCAAUCCCAUAUCUCUACACCUUGCAAUAUCAAUGGCUUGUAUUUCUCUCAUUUAUUGACGAUUUUAUCCUAGCAGCUGAGAACAUGGUAGAGAGAAUUUUCCCUCCAUCAAAUCAUGUUUUCAAUAAGAUUGAUGAUAUUGUUCAAGUCAUAGAAACUUUCCCUAUGAAAUAUGAUAAUGUGGUGACUACAUUCUCUACCAUUAUCCACCAAGUCCCAUUUCUAGAUUGGUUAUUGGUACAUGUUAUCUCUUUACUGAAACUUCUGAUAACUACAUUGACUUACUGGGGUUCUCAAGGUACAAGGGAGAAGGAGAUUAUGGUCGAUAUAAACUGCGAAAACCGUGAUACUAACCAAUUUUUAUCCAUGAAUGUUUAUGAACACACAACAAGAUCACAUGUCCAUGUUGAUAGUGAGAAUGAUACCAUCAACGGUGAGUUUCGUCAUCCUCUACCUGAAACUGAGAUGGCUUCUGUGAAAGUUGACGAUGAUGGCUUGAAGAGUACUUACAAAGAAGUUUUAGAGAAGAAUACCACAAAUGAGAAUGAACAUGGAAAGAAGGAAAUUAGUUUUACAAAGGAGAGAAGGAAGAAAGCAACGGCUGAUGAAAAAGUUGAUAAAAAAGAUGAAAGUCAUAGCAAGGAUGACCCAAUGUUAAAUUUGAGUACUUGCAAAGAAGUUUUAGAGAAGAAUACCACAGAUGACAAAGAACAUGGAAAUGGAAAGAAAGAAAUUAAAGCUACUAAAAUGGGAAGGAAGAAAGCAACAGAUGAAAGGCAUAACAAGGAUGAUCCAAUACUAGAUUUGUUCGAGUCAGGUUGGAUAAUGAGACGUUUAAAGAAAAAUAAAAAUUAAUACUCAAAAUCCGCCAUGAACAAACUAAUCUCAUUUUCCUUUUAAUAUUAAUAUAUUAGAUUGUUUUUGAGUGUAAUUAUUUUUAUUUUACAUCAAUAAUACACAAAAAGUUUUUAGAUU